CCAUUCUGCAGAAUAAGGACCAGAACUUUACAGAGGUAAACUGUGUCGGUUCUUUUACUAUUACAGCAGUUCAUCGUGGUCCUGUUGUUCGGCUCCUUCACCAAAGCUCUGUCAGGGACCUACAUGAAGAGUGUCAUCACUCAGAGAAACACUUUGACCUGUCCAGCUCUCUCAUCGGACUUAUAGACGGCAGCUUUGAGAUGGGUAACCUGCUGUUCCUGGCUGUGGUCAGCCAUUUGGGGGGCGAAGCUGCACCGGCCCAGGCUCAUUGCUAUGGGCUGUUUCCUCAUGGCUGUAGGAUCCUUCCUCACAGGCCUGCCACACUUCUUUAUGGGACGGUAAAACAACUGAAAUUAAACUUGUACUUGUAGAGAUACUCCAAUGCGGAGGAUAGUUUCACUUUAGAAUUAAAGAAAUGUAUCCAGUUUUUGAUUAAACUCAGGUAACUUCGAACUAAAGUCUUGCGUAAUUGGUCAGCUGCUUGAUUAUGUUUUGGGGCCAUACAUGUUAAGAGAAGGGAUUAAGAGAUGCUAUAACUGAAGUGGUAAGGUUGGACCCAGGUGCAGAGAAGAGACCAGAAGACGAAGCAGUGGUUCCAACCAGUGUCUCCACUGCUCAAGGGCCCACUUAACUGCCAAAAGCUCCCAGUUGUAUACAUCGUAGUUGCCUUCCACUGGCGAGACCUGCUUGGAGUGAAAGGAGCAUGGGUGCAGUUUCUUGUCCUCCUUGUUCCACUGUGAAAGGACCACACCAGGUCUGGUGUCCGGGGCGUCCACCUCCACGUCCAUUUUAAGCGUUGCGGAGGUCCAGUUUGGUGAAGAAUUGGAUUCUUAGUGCCAACUCCGAGGCGGCGGACAUCGGGUAGGGGGUAACGAUUCUUGAUCGUAGUCCUUUUCAGCCCUCUGUAAUCGAUGCAAGGACUGAAGUUUGGGUCAGAGACAGAGAGACAAGGGAUGCGAUUAGACAUGCAGCCCAAUUAUGAUAUUUUUUCCACUAAUUGGCCUUUUGACCAAUCACAUUAGAUAUUUUCGUAUCAGCUCUUUUUCGGGGAAUAUCUGAUUGGUCAAAAUACCAAAUACUCAAAAAAAAUGACUGAAUUGGGCUGCCUGUCUCAACGAAUCCAUAGAAACCUGGACAUGCUCCAACUGAAAUGUUCCAUCCUGUCAGUACUGAUGUUGAAUGGCAUUAAAUACACUUUUUUUGUUCUCUCCCAUCCCCUGUAGGUUUGUUGAACAUGAGUGGAAAUGAAACUCAAGCACACUGGUAGCACUAAAGAAGUGUGAGUAUAACUUUUCCAGGUGAGUUGAACCUGCCUGGGAUAUUCCUGGGAGGUCUACUGAUGAAGAGGUAUAAGCUUGGCGUUGUGUCUGGUUCCCAGAUGUCUUUCGUCAUCUCCUUCAUGGCCUACCUCCUCCUCCCUCUGCAGUCUGGCACUAAGUGUGACAACGUUCAGGUGGCUGGUCUGACCGUGUCCUAUAAUGGGUCCCCUGGUGUACGAUGGCAGCCUGUUGUCAGAAUGUAACAGAGCCUGCUCCUGCUUGGCUGGGAAGUGGGACCCUGUGUGUUCAGACAACGGCAUCACCUACACCCCCAGCCUCGCAGGCUGCUCCAGCUUUACAGGUUACGGCAAGAACACGGUACCAAUACUAUUAAUGUACUGAGAGUACAAAACAUUCACAGGGAUGCCGGCCUAUGUUGACUCCAAUGGCUCCCACAUUUGUGUCAAGUUGGCUGUAUGUCUUUUGAGUGGUGGACCAUUCUUGAUACACACGGGAAACUGUUGAGCGUAAACAACCCAGCAGUUGAGUUCUUGACACAAGCUGGUACCACUGGCACCUACUACCAUGCCCCGUUGAAAGGCAUGUAAAUAUUUUGUCUUGCCCAUUCACCCUCUGAAUGGCACACACACACAAUCCAUGUCUCAAUUGUCUCAAGCUUUACAAUAUAUAUUUUUAAACCUUUCUCCUCUUUAUCUACACUGAUUUAAGUGGGUUUAACUAGUGACAACCAUAAGGGAUUAUAUCUUUAACCUGGAUUCACCUGGUCAGCAUAUGUCAUGGAAAGAGCAGGUGUUCUUAAUGUUUAUACACUCAGUGUAACUGACAUGUACCACUGCAUAUACAUUCAGAGAGUUUGGUAUUUUUCCUGGAGGGCCACAACGUGUAGUAAUCUUUGGCCAAACCAGGCACACUAGAGUCUAUGGAGCGAUAUGAUGUUGAAUCUGAAAUUCAGUUUAUGUUGGCACUAAUAUCACUCCAUAACAUUCUAGCUAUAUGUCUUGGUUUAUGCGGGGCGGCAGGGUAGCCUAGUGGUAAGAGAGUUGGACUAGUAACAGGAAGGUUGCAAGUUCAAAUCCCCGAGCUGACAAGGUACAAAUCUGUCUUUCUGCCCCAUAACAGGCAGUUAAACCACCAUCAUUGAAAAUAAGAAUUUGUUCUUAACUGAUUUGCCAGGUUAAAUUAAUGUUAAAAAGAAAAAUGGUUGGAAAAAAUGAAAAAGACAUGAUGGUCCUGUAGCCUACUGUGUCACAUGUAAACAAGUUUAGGAUGCCAAAUGUUACCAAACAUCCUACACUUCCACUAGUCCCAAACUUAUCUUGACCUUUAUCAACCCUACUGCAUAUUCCCUUUAGCUUUCAUUUCAAUUUCAUUUUAUUGUACUUUGUUUGGGACCGCACAAGACACUAAAAAUAAAAUGGUGUAUAUUUUUG